rnacentral:sRNA from 1 species
AUGGAUAGACUGAAGCAUACAUUUCUGCUAAUCCUCACGCGACUACUUCCCACGGAGCUUGAAAGACAUGCUCGCACGAUUGAACCUUCCACUGCAAGGACGUCUACACUCGGCAUCGACGAUGUGAAGAAUAUGUGUUCGAUAUUCCCGCCAGUAUUUACUGUUGGAUACGGACGUGUUGAUGGUCUUCUCUGUACAUUUUAUUUUAUUUAUUAUGUCGAUAUCGGUAAGAAUACUGAACGAUUUUGCCGUUGCAUCGUUGGCAUGACGCGUGACGCUAACAUUGAACUUGUAAACAACGGAGACAGAUGGAUCACGAUUUCCUAAACUGUUGGAAGUAUUAGGGAUAGACAAAGAAUAAAUUAAAUAUACAUCAAGAUACAGUUUUAAUAAAGCCUACGGAGUACAAUCCUACGAAGAUCGAAGUAAAAAUCAUCAAAAUGUGCAAACCUAUCUGCUAGUGUUAUAAUUUAUGUUAUCAGAUAUAGUAGCAAAGUCAAACUGGGCUAUGAAGCAACACGAUCCUAGUCGAUCCAGAGCAACUCAAACUCGAAAUCAUGUGUGAUUUCUCACAAAGAAGAAUUAGAUUUUCAGUAUAUUGGAGAAAAUUCAACAAAAACGCUGCCUAUAACAUUUCAUAACAAGAACAGUAUUGCUGUACCUGUUACACUUUUAUAUCACAUGAUGGACCAAAAAUAUUCAGUAUUGAAAGUGGAUCUCAAGACGAACUGACACUAGUACUUAAGCCUUAUGAAAAUUUUUGCAUUUUGAACAGAGCCACAGUAUUGGAGGGUAAAUUGAUUGUACACGUUCAAUGUGACGAUGAUAUGUACUAUUCAAGAAGACGUGCCUCUUUAUGCAAAAACAGGUACUUGUAAAUCCAGGUAAUCGACACGAGUACCUAUAGUUGUCCAAGGCAACAAGGCAAGUGUUGAAUAUCGUUAAUCGGAAACGUGGCGACGCACGUAUCCGCUACUGUCGUGCAAUCGAGGGCUAUUCAGACGCGGCACAAGAUUUCUCCGUAAAGCCAGAUCAUAUAUUUCUGCACGCUGGAGACAACGGUUUAUUCUAAUUGUAUAUAAGUCACAGUGUUUGGAUGCAAAAGCUGUAGAUAACGAAAGGUAACGUCAAUCUGCCAGAUUAAAUUCGGUUGCUGGUAACAAUGUUUACCAUUACAACAUAUGUGCCGAACAAAUAUCUGAAAAUUAUUUACGUUGCAAUACACCUAAUAAUAUAAUAUUUUUGAGCCCUGCAACGUCGCCACAGAGUGUAGCUUCUAGUAGGUCUGGACCUUUGGAUCGGAAUUCACCAAUCAGCAUGGUGUCUAGCGUAGCCGUUGCGGGACACACAAUUCCAAUCAGAGCAACGCACGCUGCUCUAGUAUGGAAUAGCGUGAAAACGGGAAAGAGUGAAAUUAAGGAAUUCACAAUUCGCAAUACAAGCAAUAACAAGAUCAAAAUUCAGAUAGAUAUGUCGGAUGCGAAAAAGAGUUUUAAGUUUCUCAGCGACAGACAAACUGUCACUACAAGCAUGGUGUUGGCGAUGCAACGUCAAGAGAUCAAAACGCUCGCAGUUGUGUUUAGCCCGUAUCAUAUAGGUCCAGCAGUUGGAAAAAUUACCAUCAAACAUUACGCGACGGACAGCAGCGAUUCUCAGCAACACAAAAAGAUACCUUUGUACGGAUACGGCGGCUGUGGCAAAGUGAAAGUCUCGGACACAUUUAAAGAUGCGGGUGGAAAGAUGUGGUUGUCGCUUGGUACUUUAUCCUCCGAGACUACGGCUUUGACCGCGAACAUCACGUUGCAAAAUGUCGGCGACUUGAGUUCAUUUGCCAAAAUCAAAGUUGUACCAAAAGUUAUAUCUCCGACAAUGGAUUCCAGUUGGCACAUAAGUCAAAAAGAACUGAUACUCAAUCCCAGAGAGAAUCGGCGAGUGGCGAUAGAAUUCUAUCCCAAGAAAGAAGACUUUGCGAUAUUACAGCGUUUGGAAGUCUCACAUGUCGCGACGAUAAACGUCACUUACGGAGAUGAAUCGACCCGCUUGCGGAUACGCAGAUUGUACAAUAAGAUAAAAGAGACAGGUGAAUUGACCGAAAACGAGAAUGAAGCAUUCAAGAAUAUUGUGCAUCCCAUAUGCAAAGCUUUUCCUGGAGAGCAAAUAAUUCCUGGUUUAACAUCAAUUCGUGAUACCAUUCAAAACUUGAGUGAUCUGUGCACCGGGGUUCACCAGUACGAAAUAAUGCUCACAGUGGAAGAGUGCGCGGAUGAUACUUUGCCCGUUCAUUAUGACACUGACGAAUCACAGAUGGAUUACUCCCUUAUGAAUGACACUACUCACAUAGACGAAGCAGCUGGAGCAAGUUUUUUCACUUCUUCGAUGACGGUAGAAUGUGAAGCUCAGUAUUCUGAAUUAGGAGAGGAACAAUUCACCGUGACUCCGUCCACUGUCGUUCUCAAUCCUCCGAUCCGAAAUGAGGCAACUGUGACUGUUCUCGGUUCUUUCAAAGCAGCCCAGCCAUUUCAAACCGGCUGGUCGAAGUUAAAACUGUCGAACUCGAGUUAUUUUAGUGUCGUUCCCGCGAAAGGAAUGCUGCCGAGCAGAAGAGGUUUCCCUUUAAAAGUAAAAUGCUCGCAGAGAAUAAAACGUAACACCCAUGCCGUACUCGAGAUUUAUACGGAGAACAGUAAACAGGAUGUACUGAUUAAUGUUAUUGUAAAACGACAGUGAUCAGAUAUAUUUACAAUAUGAUUG